GUGGGGAAUUGUUCGCAAUGGGCGAAAGCCUGACGACGCAACGCCGCGUGGAGGAUGAAGGUCUUCGGAUUGUAAACUCCUGUUGCUCGGGACGAAUAGCUUCAACCUAAUACGUUGAAGUCUGACGGUACCGGGUGAGGAAGCCCCGGCUAACUCUGUGCCAGCAGCCGCGGUAAUACAGAGGGGGCAAGCGUUGUUCGGAAUUACUGGGCGUAAAGGGCGCGUAGGCGGCCCGCUAAGUCGAACGUGAAAUCCCCGGGCUCAACCCGGGAACUGCGUCCGAUACUGGUGGGCUUGAAUCCGGGAGAGGGAUGUGGAAUUCCAGGUGUAGCGGUGAAAUGCGUAGAUAUCUGGAGGAACACCGGUGGCGAAGGCGGCAUCCUGGACCGGUAUUGACGCUGAGGCGCGAAAGCCAGGGGAGCAAACGGGAUUAGAUACCCUUGUAGUCC
rnacentral:rRNA from 1 species